AUUGAACGCUGGCGGCAGGCCUAACACAUGCAAGUCGAGCGAGAGUAGGAAGGGUGAGUAAUGUAUGGGGACCGCCCGAUAGAGGGGGAUAACCACUGGAAACGGUAGCUAAUACCGCAUACUAUCGGCUAAUCCAUAUGGGAUUAGCUCGUAGGUGAGGUAAGGGCUCACCUAGGCGACGAUCCCUAGCUGGUCUGAGAGGGUGAUCAGCCACACUGGAACUAGGACACGGUCCAGACUCCUACGGAGGCAGCAGUGGGGAAUAUUGCACAAUGGGCGCAAGCCUGAUGCAGCCAGGCCGCGUGUAUGAAGAAGGCCCUAGGGUGGUAAAGUACUUUCAGUCGGGAGGCGUUAACGGCAGAAGAAGCACCGGCUAACUCCGUGCCAGCCGCCGCGGUAAUAC
rnacentral:rRNA from 1 species